CGCGGUUGUUUGUUUAUUUGUUUAUUUGCUCCGUUUGCACCUGAGAAGCUCCAGUGGCUUAAGCCGGGAAAGCAUUCUUUCUGAAAGGAGCAGGAUGGCGCCAGCCGGCUCAGUGCUUACAGACAGCUGUGGCGAGACGCAACUUAAGGAGGUUCCAGUGUCAUAAGCCCGGGGGAGGCGGAGCCUGUCCCCGCCUGAGGAGGGGACCGGGGACAGGGACCGGCGGGGCGCACCGGCCGCCUCCGCGCUGCCCCCGCCGCGCACCCGCGGGAACCCCCUUUUACCAACUUCUUUGAAUCCCCCCCCCCUUUUUUUUUUAAUUCUUCCUUUUUAAAGGGGAAGAUAAGUUUUCCCGCUGGUCGGAAAACUCUGCGAGUGGCCGCUCCGGGCAGCCAGGCGUGAAGGGGAGGCGGCCGGUUGUGCCGGCACCCCGGGGGUGCCAGGAGGGGCUGGAGCCCCCAGGGAGCGAGGCCGGGCCGCUGCGGGGAUGUGCCGGCAGGUGCAGGACCUCCGGCCGUCUGCAAUACAGCUGCCUUUACCCCGACACCGGCGGGUUUAAAGCUGCUCCGUCUCAUACAGGAUUUAAUUCUGAUUAUUUUUAAGGCCAUAAGCGCAGAGAAACGGCCGCGUUUGGGAAUAAUACGACUGGGGGGGGGGGAGGUGUUAGCUAGGGGGUUCCCUCUUCCCGCUCCACUGGAGAUGCCAGCGGCGGGCAAGCAGAGGCGGGGAGACUUUGCGGCUCAGGGCAGGGGGCGAGGGAGAGGGCUGCGGCCCGGGGGCUGCGGGAGGGACCCCCGGCCCCGCCGACCCCCCGCGGGCUCCGCGCCCGCAGCGCCGCCCGCCGCCCAGCGGGGGCCGCCGCCGCCGCAGCCAAUGGGGGGCGAGCAGGAACUGGGGAGCCGGCCCCGGGAGGCGCUGAUUGGCUGCCCGCCCGCGCCCCGCCGGCCGGCCCGGCCGCUGCGUUGAGCCAGGGCAUCCCCUAGCGGCACCGCCGGCACCACGGCUCGGCGGGGCACGGCUCGGCGGGGCUCGGCACGGCUUGGCACGGCGGGGCACGGCGCGGCACGGCACAGCGGGGCACGGCGCGGCACAGCGGGGCACGGCACUGCUCGGCUCGGCGCGGCACGGCCUGCCACCCCUCGGCGCACAGGCCAGGGGACAGACUCGGCCCCGGGGGACUGGUGGAGGGAGAGGCGGGGGGAUGGAGAAAGGGAGAGGAACACAGGAAAGAAAUAAAAGGGGGAGAGAGGGAAGAGGGAAAACACAGAAAGAGAGAAAAGGGAGAAAGAAGCGGGUGAGAGGUGGGGAAAAAGGCAAAAGCCUCAGAAAGGAAGGAAAGACGGGUAGAAAGACAGACGGGGUAGGAAAGGAAAAGAAAAAAGAAAGAAAAAGAAAAAAGGGAAAAGAAAAAGGGAAAGAAAAAAGAAAAAGGAGAGGAAAAAAGAUAAAGAAAAGAACAAAAAAAAGGAAAAAAUAAAAACAAAGGAAAAGAAAAAGAAAAGAAGAAAAAAGGAAAAGAAGAAAAAGAAAAAUAGGCGUGGAAAGGAAGAAAAGAAUAAUAAUAACAAAAUAAUUUAAAAAAAGAACUAGAAAAAGUCACUUACAGGAUGCCUUUGCGUGCCGUCUCUCCGCACGCCGGCCACAGAGCGUCUACCCGGGUGCGGGAGGAAACUCUCUCAGGAGGUUUUAUACACGGGGGGGUCUAAUUAAAACCCGGGGCCCCGCAGUCGCGGCCGCGCCGCUGCCGUUGCCUCGCCGGGGCGGUCUCCGGCCGGGCCAGCGCCGCUCCCGCGGCGGGCAGGGCUCGGCCCGUCGGUAUUCCCCCGGCCGUUCCCGCGGACGGCGCAGCUCAGCCCGGCCCGGUGCUCCCGGCCCUUGCGCCUGCUUUAAGCCCGAUUUUCAGCCGCCUGUGCAGCCCAUCCGCCGCUGGGCGUGGGGACAGCGCGGUACCGCUGAGGUCUGGUGUUUCACGGUGGCGAUGCACAGAUAUAGAUUUAUUUUAAUAACGUCAAAAAAUAAAGUCUGGGGCAGGUAUAAAACCGGAGAA